CACUCCUACGGGAGGCAGCAGUGGGGAAUUUUGGACAAUGGGCGAAAGCCUGAUCCAGCAAUGCCGCGUGAGUGAAGAAGGCCUUCGGGUUGUAAAGCUCUUUUGUCAGGGAAGAAACGGUGAAAGCUAAUAUCUUUUGCUAAUGACGGUACCUGAAGAAUAAGCACCGGCUAACUACGUGCCAGCAGCCGCGGUAAUACGUAGGGUGCAAGCGUUAAUCGGAAUUACUGGGCGUAAAGCGUGCGCAGGCGGUUUUGUAAGUCUGAUGUGAAAUCCCCGGGCUCAACCUGGGAAUUGCAUUGGAAACUGCAAGGCUAGAAUCUGGCAGAGGGGGGUAGAAUUCCACGUGUAGCAGUGAAAUGCGUAGAUAUGUGGAGGAACACCGAUGGCGAAGGCAGCCCCCUGGGUCAAGAUUGACGCUCAUGCACGAAAGCGUGGGGAGCAAACAGGAUUAGAAACCCGAGUAGUCCCAUGA
rnacentral:rRNA from 1 species